UUAUUUGAGAGUUUGAUCCUGGCUCAGGAUGAACGCUGGCGGCGUGCCUAACACAUGCAAGUUGAGCGAUUUACUUCGGUAAAGAGCGGCGGACGGGUGAGUAACGCGUGGGUAACCUACCCUGUACACACGGAUAACAUACCGAAAGGUAUGCUAAUACGGGAUAAUAUAUUUGAGAGGCAUCUCUUGAAUAUCAAAGGUGAGCUAGUACAGGAUGGACCCGCGUCUGAUUAG
rnacentral:rRNA from 1 species